rnacentral:rRNA from 1 species
CAGUAGCCACGGUAAUACAGAGGGUGCGAGCGUUAAUCGGAUUUACUGGGCGUAAAGCGUGCGUAGGCGGCUUCUUAAGUCGGAUGUGAAAUCCCUGAGCUUAACUUAGGAAUUGCAUUCGAUACUGGGAAGCUAGAGUAUGGGAGAGGAUGGUAGAAUUCCAGGUGUAGCGGUGAUAUGCGUAGAGAUCUGGAGGAAUACCGAUGGCGAAGGCAGCCAUCUGGCCUAAUACUGACGCUGAGGUACGAAAGCAUGGGGAGCAAACAGGAUUAGAUACCCCAGUAGUCCCUGUCUCUUAUAC